rnacentral:rRNA from 1 species
AACACAGCACCUCAAGUGGUCAGGAUGAUUAUUGAGGCCUAAAGCAUCCGUAGCCGGCUAUGUAAGUUUUCGGUUAAAUCUGUGCGCUUAACGUACAGGCUGCCGGGAAUACUGCAUAGCUAGGAAGUGGGAGAGGUAGACGGGACUCGGCAGGAGGGGGUAAAAUCCCUUGAUCUAUUGAUGACCACCUGUGGCGAAGGCGGUCUACCAGAACACGUUCGACGGUGAGGGAUGAAAGCUGGGGGAGCAAACCGGAUUAGAUACCCGGGUAGUCCCAGCUGUAAACUAUGCAAACUCAAUGAUGCAUUGGCUUGUGGCCAAUGCAGUGUUGCAGGGAAGCCGUUAAGUUUGCCGCCUGGGAAGUACGUACGCAAGUAUGAAACUUAAAGGAAUUGGCGGGGGAGCACCACAAGGGGUGAAGCCUGCGGUUCAAUUGGAGUUAACGCCAGAAAUCUUACCCGGAGAGACAGCAGAAUGAAGGUCAAGCUGAAGACUUUACCAGACAAGCUGAGAGGUGGUGCAUGGCCGUCGCCAGCUCGUGCCGUGAGAUGUCCUGUUAAGUCAGGUAACGAGCGAGAUCCCUGCCUCUAGUUGCCACCAUUACUCUCAGGAGUAGUGGGGCGAAUUAGCGGGACCGCCGCAGUUAAUGUGGAGGAAGGAAGGGGCCACGGCAGGUCAGUAUGCCCCGAAACUCUGGGGCCACACGCGGGCUGCAAUGGUAGUGACAAUGGGUUCCGAAUCCGAAAGGAGGAGGUAAUCCUCAAACACUACCACAGUUGUGACUGAGGGCUGCAACUCGCCCUCACGAACAUGGAAUCCCUAGUAACUGCGUGUCACUAUCGCGCGGUGAAUACGUCCCUGCUCCU